GACGAACGCUGGCGGCGUGCCUAAUACAUGCAAGUCGAACGCUUCUUUUUCCACCGGAGCUUGCUCCACCGGAAAAAGAAGAGUGGCGAACGGGUGAGUAACACGUGGGUAACCUGCCCAUCAGAAGGGGAUAACACUUGGAAACAGGUGCUAAUACCGUAUAACAAUCAAAACCGCAUGGUUUUGAUUUGAAAGGCGCUUUCGGGUGUCGCUGAUGGAUGGACCCGCGGUGCAUUAGCUAGUUGGUGAGGUAACGGCUCACCAAGGCCACGAUGCAUAGCCGACCUGAGAGGGUGAUCGGCCACAUUGGGACUGAGACACGGCCCAAACUCCUACGGGAGGCAGCAGUAGGGAAUCUUCGGCAAUGGACGAAAGUCUGACCGAGCAACGCCGCGUGAGUGAAGAAGGUUUUCGGAUCGUAAAACUCUGUUGUUAGAGAAGAACAAGGAUGAGAGUAACUGUUCAUCCCUUGACGGUAUCUAACCAGAAAGCCACGGCUAACUACGUGCCAGCAGCCGCGGUAAUACGUAGGUGGCAAGCGUUGUCCGGAUUUAUUGGGCGUAAAGCGAGCGCAGGCGGUUUCUUAAGUCUGAUGUGAAAGCCCCCGGCUCAACCGGGGAGGGUCAUUGGAAACUGGGAGACUUGAGUGCAGAAGAGGAGAGUGGAAUUCCAUGUGUAGCGGUGAAAUGCGUAGAUAUAUGGAGGAACACCAGUGGCGAAGGCGGCUCUCUGGUCUGUAACUGACGCUGAGGCUCGAAGCGUGGGGAGCAAACAGG
rnacentral:rRNA from 1 species